CACGUAGGAGGCGAGCGUUGUCCGGAAUCAUUGGGCGUAAAGAGCGCGCAGGCGGCUUGGCAAGUCGGGUGUGAAAUCCCGGGGCUCAACCCCGUGACUGCAUCCGAUACUGUCAGGCUAGAGGUAGGUAGGGGAGAUCGGAAUUCCUGGUGUAGCGGUGAAAUGCGCAGAUAUCAGGAGGAACACCGGUGGCGAAGGCAGGUCACUGGGCCGCAACUGACGCUGAGGAGCGAAAGCAUGGGGAGCGAACAGG
rnacentral:rRNA from 1 species